rnacentral:rRNA from 1 species
UACGGGGGGGGUAAGCGUUGUUCGGAAUCACUGGGCGUAAAGCGCGCGUAGGCGGCCAAUCAAGUCAGGGGUGAAAUGCCGGAGCUUAACUUCGGAACUGCCUUUGAAACUGAUUGGCUGGAAGAUGAGAGGGGAGUGCGGAAUUUCUGGUGUAGAGGUGAAAUUCGUAGAUACCAGAAGGAACACCGGUGGCGAAGGCGGCACUCUGGCUCAUUCUUGACGCUCUGGCGCGAAAGCGUGGGGAUCAAACAGG